GGAGGAAAAGAAACCAACAGGGAUUGCCUUAGUAGCGGCGAGUGAAGCGGCAAGAGCUCAAAUUUGAAAUCUGGUACCUUCGGUGCCCGAGUUGUAAUUUGAAGAAAGCUAUCUUGGAGGUGGCCUUUGUCUAUGUUCCUUGGAACAGGACGUCAUGGAGGGUGAGAAUCCCGUGUGAUGAGGUGUCCAUUUCCGUGUAAGAUGCUUUCGAAGAGUCGAGUUGUUUGGGAAUGCAGCUCAAAGUGGGUGGUAAAUUCCAUCUAAAGCUAAAUAUUGGCGAGAGACCGAUAGCGAACAAGUACUGUGAAGGAAAGAUGAAAAGAACUUUGAAAAGAGAGUGAAAAAGUACGUGAAAUUGUUGAAAGGGAAGGGUAUUUGAUCAGACUUGGUAUUUAGCUAUCAUCGCUCCUUGUGGGUGGUGCUCUAGCUUUUUACUGGGCCAGCAUCAGUUUUGGUGGCAAGAUAAUGACAGUUGAAUGUGGCUCCUCGGAGUGUUAUAGCUUCUGUUGAUGUUGCCUACCGAGACUGAGGUCUGCGGCUUUUGCCUAGGAUGCUGGCGUAAUGAUCCAAUACCGCCCGUCUUGA
rnacentral:rRNA from 1 species